GGUCAUGGUCGAGGGCCCGAGGGYUCCGGGGUCUUGGACGCCCCGUCGCCGGUCGGGUCACGGCUUCGAUCGAGUUGGGCGUUUCAACCACCACUCGUCGUGACGUCCCGGGACGGGGAUUCCGUUUUGGGCCGACCGCAUGCUCGAGACACGGGGGGCCAAUGUCCGUCACCCGCCUCAGGGCGCGUGCGAGGGGGGUGGCGACGAUGCGUGACGCCCAGGCAGGCGUGCCCUCGGCCUAAUGGCUUCGGGCGCAACUUGCGUUCAAAAACUCGAUGGUUCACGGGAUUCUGCAAUUCACACCAAGUAUCGCAUUUCGCUACGUUCUUCAUCGAUGCGAGAGCCUAGAUAUCCGUUGCCGAGAGUCGUAUUGGUUAUAUUUCAGACGCGCCGCGUCCUCCCGACGGAAGCCGUGGGGGGKGACGCGGACGAUCCGUUCGAGUAGUCCUUGACGCGUUCCGCGCCGGGAGUUUUGUUAGGUUCGGUGGACGGCCGAACGUGGUCCGGCCGCGCCCCCGAUUUCGGUUGUCAAACGUGUUCGCGGUGGUUCGCAGG
rnacentral:misc_RNA from 1 species